rnacentral:rRNA from 1 species
AACGAACGCUGGCGGCAUGCCUAACACAUGCAAGUCGAACGAGACCUUCGGGUCUAGUGGCGCACGGGUGCGUAACGCGUGGUAACCUGCCCUUAGGUUCGGAAUAACUCCCCUAAAGGGGUGCUAAUACCGGUUAAUGUCUUCGUACCAAAGAUUUAUCGCCUUUGUAUGGGCCCGCGUUGGAUUAGCUAGUUGGUAGGGUAAAAGCCUACCAAGGCCAGGAUCCAUAGCUGGUAUGAGAGGAUGAUAAGCCACACUGGGACUGAGACACGGCCGAGAAUAGUACGGGAGGAAGGAGAGGGGAAUAUUGGAAAAGGGGGGAAAGCAAGAAAAAGCAAGGGGGGGGGAGAGAGGAAGGGGUUAGGGAAGAAAAGGAGAUUUAAAAGGGAAGAAAAUGAAAGUAAGGGGAGAAAAAGAACCGGCUAACUACGUG